rnacentral:rRNA from 1 species
AAUGCGUAGAUAUCUGCAGGAACACCCGUGGCGAAGGCGGCUGACUGGAUCGCAACUGACACUGAGGAACGAAAGCUAGGGGAGCAAACAGGAUUAGAUACCCCGGUAGUCCUAGCCCUAAACCAUCGGAACUUGGGGUGGCCCGCGUAGGCGGGUCGUCCCGUAGCUAACGCGUUAAGUUCCGCGCCUGGGGAGUACGGUCGCAAGACUGAAACUCAAAGGAAUUGACGGGGGCCCGCACAAGCGGUGGAACAUGUGGUUCAAUUCGACGCAACGCGAAGAACCUUACCUGGGCUUGAACCGCUACUGACCAAGGGUAGAAAUAUCCUCUUCCCGCAAGGGACAGUAGUAGAGGUGCUGCAUGGCUGUCGUCAGCUCGUGCCGUGAGGUGUUGGGUUAAGUCCCGCAACGAGCGCAACCCUUAUUCGUAGUUGCCACCCGCAAGGGGGAACUCUACGAGGACUGCUCCGGAUAACGGAGAGGAAGGUGGGGAUGACGUCAAGUCAGCACGGCCUUUAUGUCCAGGGCUACACACGUGUUACAAUGCACGGUACAGACUGUUGCGAACCCGCGAGGGGGAGCUAAUCGGAUAAAACCGUGCUCAGUUCGGAUUGCAGUCUGCAACUCGACUGCAUGAAGCUGGAAUCGCUAGUAAUGGCGUAUCAGAUCGACGCCGUGAAUACGUUCCCGGGCCUUGUACACGCCGCCCGCCACAUCACGAAAGUGAGCUGUACUAGAAGUCGCGCAGCCAACCGUAAGGAGGCACGCGCCCAAG